GCAUUGGUGGUUCAGUGGUAGAAUUCUCGCCUGCCAUGCGGGAGACCCGGGUCCUAUUCCCGGCCAAUGCA
rfam:Danio rerio chromosome 4, GRCz11 reference primary assembly.